GACACUGGUCUUAAAUACUACUGAGAGCAAUUUAUCACCCCAACACGUUUCAACUACACAAAAAUAUGCAGGUUUUUCUUGUACUCACUAUAAUCCUCAACCUGACACUGACUUUAAAGGCCUACCAGUCUUCGUGCUUUCGUCGGGAGGCGCUACACGACAAACUCCAAAAGGUAAAGCGUCAACUUUGCAGAGGACUAAUUAACACGGAAGAUGAAGCACGCCUACCACUUGCAAAGACCGAGACAACUUGCCCCAUCGGACUCUAUUCCACUUCGCCAGAGAUCAUGAAUCGCUCCAUCUCCCCCUGGAGGUUAAGAGUUGAUGUGGACGAGACACGCUUUCCGCGGGAAAUUCGUGUCGCUGAUUGCCUAUGCAAGGGGUGUAUCAUCAACAAGUCUGAAAAUGCGGGAUACAUAUCGAAACCUGUCCUCCAAAGUAAGAUAGUGAUAAAGUGGAUACCCUGUCAUCAUGAUGGAGGCUCGCUGAAUGGAUACUUACUUAAAACAGAAUAUGUCAACGUGCCUAUUGCCUGCACCUGCGUGGUGCCAAAGACAGUAGACAUGAAAUAUUGAUUGCCUUAAUUCCUCUCGUAGAGGAUUUGGAAAAGACUAAAUGUAGUGACGUGUUUCACAUAAUGUUGUGUU